UACGUAGGGGGCAAGCGUUGUCCGGAAUUAUUGGGCGUAAAGAGCGUGUAGGCGGCCAGAUAAGUCCGCUGUGAAAUCUCGAGGCUCAACUUCGAGCUGUCGGUGGAAACUAUCUGGCUAGAGUCCGGAAGAGGAGAAUGGAAUUCCUGGUGUAGCGGUGAAAUGCGUAGAUAUCGUAAGGAAGACCAGUGGCGAAGGCGGGUCUCUGGACAGUUCCUGACGCUGAGGCACGAAGGUCAGGGGGAGCAAAACGGG
rnacentral:rRNA from 1 species